AAAAAGUGAUUUUCAAGGAAAACUCUUUAAGGCACCGAAAAAAAACGAAAGAAACUUAAAAGACAAAUAAACAGAAAAAAAUUACAAGAAAACAAUGCAUACAAGGUGUUUAAAUAAAUGCUCUUAAAUAUAUAUUUUUUGACUAAAGAAUAAGGUAAUUACAAAUGAGGAGAAAAUCUCUAUUUAUAUUUGAGUUUCUUAAAUUCAAUAAGAAUAAGGUAAUUACAAAUGAGGAGAAAAUCUCUAUUUAUAUUUGAGUUUCUUAAAUUCAAGAGUACAAUU
rnacentral:lncRNA from 1 species